rnacentral:rRNA from 1 species
UACGUAGGGUGCGUGCGUUGUCCGGAAUUACUGGGCGUAAAGAGCUCGUAGGUGGUUUGUCGCGUUGUUCGUGAAAACUCACAACUCAAUUGUGGGCGUGCGGGCGAUACGGGCAGACUGGAGUACUGCAGGGGAGACUGGAAUUCCUGGUGUAGCGGUGGAAUGCGCAGAUAUCAGGAGGAACACCGGUGGCGAAGGCGGGUCUCUGGGCAGUAACUGACGCUGAGGAGCGAAAGCGUGGGGAGCGAACAGG